rnacentral:lncRNA from 10 species
GGAGUGUGACAUUUCUGCGAGAAUGCUUAAAUACCGAUUUCCCGCAGGAACAAUGGCGCUGUCUUCAGUGGCACAGUGGAGCAGCUCUGAAGAUGCAAAGAUACACGAAAAAACUUCCAGAACAUCUGGGAGAAUAUUUAAUGGAAAAUCGCUUGGUUAAAACCUGACACUUUUAACAGUGAACAGCGUUCUGAGUGUGGACGAGUAGCCAGUGAAGAUAAUGAAUGUCGAAUGUGACUGACUAGCAGCUUCAUUUUGAAUGAGGGUCGCUGUCUGCCCAUUGAUAGAGGCCAGAUUGUCUUGGAAGUUCCAAAGUUGCAACGAUUUCUUUAGUUGAAUCCAUGGACAUGAAACCCACAGAUAUAGAGGGUUGGCCCGGUGCAGUGGCUCACGCCUGUAAUCCCAGCACUUUGGGAGGCCAAGGCGGGUGGAUCACCUGAGGUCAGAAGCUUGAGACCAGCCUGGCCAACAUGGGUACUGCUUUCUCUUGCUGCAGCUUGCUUCCUCCCUCAGGUAUGAAGUUAAGGUAACAUGAAGGAGGAUAUUGAAUGUUCCUAACACAAAGAAAUGAUAAAUGUUUGAGAUGGUGGAUGUACUAAUUGCCCUGAUCUGAUGACUAUACAUUAUAUAUAUUGAAACAUCAGUAUGUACCCCAUGAAUAUGUACAAUUAUAUGUCAACUUAAACACAUUUAAAAGUAAAAAAAAAAAAA